rnacentral:rRNA from 1 species
GACGAACGCUGGCGGCGUGCCUAAUACAUGCAAGUCGAGCGAAGUUUUUCUGGUGCUUGCACUAGAAAAACUUAGCGGCGAACGGGUGAGUAACACGUAAAGAACCUGCCUCAUAGACUGGGACAACUAUUGGAAACGAUAGCUAAUACCGGAUAACAGUAUUUCUCGCAUGAGAGAUAUUUAAAAGUUGGUUAUGCUAACACUAUGAGAUGGCUUUGCGGUGCAUUAGCUAGUUGGUGGGGUAAAGGCCUACCAAGGCGACGAUGCAUAGCCGACCUGAGAGGGUGAUCGGCCACACUGGGACUGAGACACGGCCCAGACUCCUACGGGAGGCAGCAGUAGGGAAUCUUCCGCAAUGGGCGAAAGCCUGACGGAGCAACGCCGCGUGAGUGAAGAAGGAUUUCGGUUCGUAAAGCUCUGUUGUUAGGGAAGAAUGGAUAUGUAGUAACUAU